rnacentral:rRNA from 1 species
AUUGAACGCUGGCGGAAUGCUUUACACAUGCAAGUCGAACGGUAGAGGGGGCAACCCCUCGAGAGUGGCGAACGGGUGAGUAAUAUAUCGGAACGUGCCCAGUCGUGGGGGAUAACGUAGCGAAAGUUACGCUAAUACCGCAUACGAUCUAAGGAUGAAAGCGGGGGAUCGCAAGACCUCGCGCGAUUGGAGCGGCCGAUAUCAGAUUAGGUAGUUGGUGGGGGAAAGGCUCACCAAGCCAACGAUCUGUAGAUGGUCUGAGAGGACGACCAGCCACACUGGAACUGAGACACGGUCCAGACGCCUACGGGAGGCAGCAGUGGGGAAUUUUGGACAAUGGACGCAAGUCUGAUCCAGCCAUUCCGCGUGCAGGAUGAAGGCCCUCGGGUUGUAAACUGCUUUUGUACAGAACGAAAAGGUUUCUACUAAUACUAGGAGCUCAUGACGGUACUGUAAGAAUAAGCACCGGCUAACUACGUGCCAGCCGCCGCAGUAA